rnacentral:tRNA from 1 species
UAAGAAUAGGCUAAUUUUAGCUUUUGGGGCUCAUACCUCAAAUAUAAAGGCACCUCUUUUUCUUAA